rnacentral:rRNA from 1 species
GAUGAACGCUGGCGGCGUGCCUAAUACAUGCAAGUCGAGCGAACAGACGAGGAGCUUGCUCCUCUGACGUUAGCGGCGGACGGGUGAGUAACACGUGGAUAACCUACCUAUAAGACUGGGAUAACUUCGGGAAACCGGAGCUAAUACCGGAUAAUAUAUUGAACCGCGUGGUUCAAUAGUGAAAGACGGUUUUGCUGUCACUUAUAGAUGGAUCCGCGCCGCAUUAGCUAGUUGGUAAGGUAACGGCUUACCAAGGCAACGAUGCGUAGCCGACCUGAGAGGGUGAUCGGCCACACUGGAACUGAGACACGGUCCAGACUCCUACGGGAGGCAGCAGUAGGGAAUCUUCCGCAAUGGGCGAAAGCCUGACGGAGCAACGCCGCGUGAGUGAUGAAGGUCUUCGGAUCGUAGAACUCUGUUAUUAGGGAAGAACAAAUGUGUAAGUAACUAUGCACGUCUUGACGGUACCUAAUCAGAAAGCCACGGCUAACUACGUG